AUUGAACGCUAGCGGGAUGCUUUACACAUGCAAGUCGAACGAGUGGCGGACGGGUGAGUAAUGUAUGGGGAUCUGCCCGAUAGAGGGGGAUAACUACUGGAAACGGAGCUAAUACCGCAUACUAUCGGAUGAACCCAUAUGGGAGUAGCUAGUAGGUGAGGUAAUGGCUCACCUAGGCGACGAUCCCUAGCUGGUUUGAGAGGAAGACCAGCCAACCUGGGACUGAUACACGGCCCAGACUCCUCCGUGAGUCGGCAGUGGGGAAUUUUGGACAAUGGGGGAAGCCCUGAUCCAGCCAUCCCGCGUGUAUGAUGAAGGCCUUCGGGUUGUAAAGUACUUUUGGCAGGGAAGCGGUAUCUGCAGAAUAAGCACCGGCUAACUACGUGCCAGCAGCCGCGGUAAUUC
rnacentral:rRNA from 1 species